AAUUCAUAGGACCCUUUAGCUUCAGGGAGCCACACGCAGCUGAACCGGCGGUGGAUCUGCGCAACAGGGGUCUAUUUACUAAGCCUUGGAUGGAGAUAACGUGGACGGAGAUAAAGUAUCAACCAACCUUAAGAAAUCAAAGACCGUUGAUGCGAAGGAGAUCCCUGUACACAUUAUUGAUGAUGCGGCUUAUCCAUUGAGGUGAAGGUUGCUGAAGGACUUCACCCAACCCCACUAUCUUACAGUGGAACAGAUACGAUUCACCCAUACCCUCAGUUCUGCCAAGAUGGUGGUUGAAAAUGCACUUGGGCAGCUGAAAAAACAUUGGCACUGUUUACUCAAGUAAAAUGACAUUGAUAUUAAGCUGAUGCCUAAUAUAGUUGCUGCUUGCUGUAUUUUACAUAACAGCAGUUUUUACCCGAGUGAAAUGUACAGGAAC